UACGGGGGGGGCAAGCGUUGUUCGGAAUUACUGGGCGUAAAGGGCGCGUAGGCGGCCUUCUAAGUCGAACGUGAAAUCCCCGGGCUCAACCCGGGAACUGCGUCCGAUACUGGAAGGCUUGAAUCCGGGAGAGGGAUGUGGAAUUCCAGGUGUAGCGGUGAAAUGCGUAGAUAUCUGGAGGAACACCGGUGGCGAAGGCGACAUCCUGGACCGGUAUUGACGCUGAGGCGCGAAAGCGUGGGGAGCGAACAGG
rnacentral:rRNA from 1 species